rnacentral:tRNA from 2 species
ACUCUUAAUUUAAAAGACAGUAGUUAAACUCUACUAUUAAGGG